UACGUAGGGUGCAGGCGUUAAUCGGAAUUACUGGGCGUAAAGCGUGCGCAGGCGGUCUGCUAAGACAGGUGUGAAAUCCCCGGGCUUAACCUGGGGAUUGCGCUUGUAACUGGCAGGCUUGAGUGUGGCAGAGGGGGGUGGAAUUCCAGGUGUAGCAGUGAAAUGCGUAGAGAUCUGGAGGAACACCGAUGGCGAAGGCAGCCCCCUGGGCUAACACUGACGCUCAUGCACGAAAGCGUGGGGAGCAAACAGG
rnacentral:rRNA from 1 species